AGAGUUUGAUCCUGGCUCAGAUUGAACGCUGGCGGCAUGCUUUACACAUGCAAGUCGAACGGCAGCGCGGGGCAACCUGGCGGCGAGUGGCGAACGGGUGAGUAAUAUAUCGGAACGUACCCAAGAGUGGGGGAUAACGUAGCGAAAGUUACGCUAAUACCGCAUACGAUCUAAGGAUGAAAGUGGGGGAUCGCAAGACCUCAUGCUCGUGGAGCGGCCGAUAUCUGAUUAGCUAGUUGGUAGGGUAAAAGCCUACCAAGGCAUCGAUCAGUAGCUGGUCUGAGAGGACGACCAGCCACACUGGAACUGAGACACGGUCCAGACUCCUACGGGAGGCAGCAGUGGGGAAUUUUGGACAAUGGGCGCAAGCCUGAUCCAGCAAUGCCGCGUGAGUGAAGAAGGCCUUCGGGUUGUAAAGCUCUUUUGUCAGGGAAGAAACGGUGAGGGCUAAUAUCCCUUGCUAAUGACGGUACCUGAAGAAUAAGCACCGGCUAACUACGUGCCAGCAGCCGCGGUAAUACGUAGGGUGCAAGCGUUAAUCGGAAUUACUGGGCGUAAAGCGUGCGCAGGCGGUUUUGUAAGUCUGAUGUGAAAUCCCCGGGCUCAACCUGGGAAUUGCAUUGGAGACUGCAAGGCUAGAAUCUGGCAGAGGGGGGUAGAAUUCCACGUGUAGCAGUGAAAUGCGUAGAUAUGUGGAGGAACACCGAUGGCGAAGGCAGCCCCCUGGGUCAAGAUUGACGCUCAUGCACGAAAGCGUGGGGAGCAAACAGGAUUAGAUACCCUGGUAGUCCACGCCCUAAACGAUGUCUACUAGUUGUCGGGUCUUAAUUGACUUGGUAACGCAGCUAACGCGUGAAGUAGACCGCCUGGGGAGUACGGUCGCAAGAUUAAAACUCAAAGGAAUUGACGGGGACCCGCACAAGCGGUGGAUGAUGUGGAUUAAUUCGAUGCAACGCGAAAAACCUUACCUACCCUUGACAUGGCUGGAAUCCUCGAGAGAUUGAGGAGUGCUCGAAAGAGAACCAGUACACAGGUGCUGCAUGGCUGUCGUCAGCUCGUGUCGUGAGAUGUUGGGUUAAGUCCCGCAACGAGCGCAACCCUUGUCAUUAGUUGCUACGAAAGGGCACUCUAAUGAGACUGCCGGUGACAAACCGGAGGAAGGUGGGGAUGACGUCAAGUC
rnacentral:rRNA from 1 species